GCCGCAAUCACGCCGGAACCAUGAGCACGGCCGUGUGUGGCAUGAGUGUGACCAUGCACAUGACCCUCAGGCACCCUAUUCAUCUCUUCAUCCUCAUUCACCGGCAGUGGCUUAGUGAAAUGAGAUCUUCUAUAAUAGCUGGUGGCAAGGGUAUCGAUCAUCAUCGUCCCAAUCGCCGAAAGCAUGGCGAUGAAGCCGGUAAAGGGGAAGUUCCCCCACGGGGUUUCGCUGAGGCAAGGGCUUGUCAAGCUCUCAAAAGCGUCCGGCAGCACGUGGAUGAAACCUGUUGCUAGAAUGACACCGGCAGCAAAGGCCUUGAUCAUGAAGAAGAUGUCAUUUUCGGGGUUUAGAGCCGGAAUUUUCUUGCCCAACAUUGGGAGGG
rnacentral:lncRNA from 1 species